GCGCCUACUUCACUAUUAGAAAUAUGCACAAUCCAGCUUUAUGAAUAUUAUCAGUUAAUAAAGAUGAUACAAAGCUCUUCUGCAGGAAUGGAGUAGGGAAUUGGGCAGUCCUAGACUGCCUAAACAAUGGAUUGCUGACUUAGUAUCUGUAUUUGAAGCGUCCACUGAUCACAGGUUAUGCUAUAUUAAGCAUACGCCACAAUGUCUCUUUAAUAAGAAUUCCUCUAAAUAAGCUAACUGCUGGAAGUGUAACAUAGCUAAAAUUUCUUUUAACUAUAUGUUUUGACAAAGCCCAACAGUUGCUUCUUUUGGGGAGGAGGUUUUACAGUCUUAGAAGGAUAAACACUCACCUUUCGUAAUGCAAUAGAUAGAAUUAAUGACUCCUUCAACAACAUGUGAAUUGGUAUAUACAAAGACAUUUGGUUUGCCUUUGUUAAAGUUUAUGUUUAAUUCUUAUAAAGCUUUAUUUUAUAUUUAAUAUAAUUUAACCCUCAGUGAGCCACAGUGCAUGUGGCCACCAUUAUGAAUGCGUUGAGGCCUGUUGUCCAAAAGUGGUCUUUGGGGUUAUGUGAUAUUUAAACAACUUCUGCUUAGCCCUACCAACCUAAUGCUCCUAAUGUUUUACUCUCAUAUAAUCCCUCAUAACAUACUGCAGCACCAUCAAGAACUGCAUAUUCAUAAUGGUGGCUGGGUGUACUGUGGCUCAUUAUGGGUUAGAAAGCCUGUGACAAUUCUGUUGUCUCGUGUGAAACCAAUCCAAUAGCUCUGAGUUGGACUUAGGAUGGGCAGGACACAGAGAUCAAUAGCUUAAUUCUGCAUAAUGAAGGGAUAUCUAAGUGAGGCUCCUAGCUACUUAACUGAAUUAAAUCUAGUUAACUUGAGCAUUGCAAAAUCAGACUAUAGAAGAAUAUUCAAAAUAAGUAUGCCUGAAUUGUACUGUAACAAAUGUGUAAAUUCACUCUUUGAGGUAUUUCCUGUACAGUAUACAGAUACUGUUAAGUCUGUUACAGCUUUUCUAUCACACAGUCUAUGCCAAUAAUAUGUUUUUGAUAAUUUAUUUUAAACAAAAGCAUGUGUUCCAGAGAAGAGAAUCUUCUGGUAAGCAAAGAGCAACAUAGCUGUGGGUUUGCAUAUUGUGACAAUACUAUGACUCGAGACGGGUUUGAGCCAAUGUAAUGUAAAGAUGUUUUUUUCCACAGGCUUACUUUUGUCAUUUUUCUACAGGAAUAUACAAGCAAAAGGCUGAGGCUUGAGGAGCCUAAAAAUGUGGAAGAAUUCGGGUAGUAAAUAACACACACAGUGCCUUCUGGACUAUUGCUAAGAUUCUCACAGUUUUCAGAGAUCCAAGGCAUUGCUGGGUCCAGAGUCGCCGAGGAGAUCUGGGAUCCUUAUAAACUGUACUUCUGUGCAGGUUGAUUACUGUUUGCUAUAUGCUUUUUUUUACAACCAGCUUGUGUCAUCUCUACAAGGCUAGUAAACAACAACUUCUUUUGUUGGCUGGAGCAAGAAAUGGUUUCCAGUUGACUAAAGAGGGUUCUGUUAAAACAUUCCAGGCACUGUCCUGGUUCCUGACCUUGACCUGUACCAUGACUGUGACUUGCCAUUAAACCCUGUCUUUGGACCCUGUCUUGCCGGAAGUUCUGUUGUCCUGGUCCUGGUGUCUGUUGCCACAGCCCUGUCUCUGACCACCCACGUCUCGGCCACGGACCUCUGUACAUUUCUGUGCAGCAGAGCCUUCCUUUCUGCAAUGAAGAAUAUCCACAUAUUUUAUGAAAGUAGUCUCAAUUAAUGGACACACCCUUAAUUGUAGAAUAUCAUAGCCAUUAAAGAACAUUUUAAUUCAAA